CUGAACAUCCAAGUGUAAUUUCAGAAGCCUUUUAUAGUAGAACUGACCAGUCACGUGAUAUCAUAAUACACUCAUACAAGGUAAAUCAGCAACAUAAAGUCAAUCAUGUGAAACAAAUGUAAACCUGUUUCCUAUAGGUAAACAGGUCAACGAUAAUAAUUAUUUACAUACAUACACAAAAGUAAAACAACAUUUAUAUAAACAUGGUGCAUAAAUAGAAAACAAUGAUAACAUGAAUAAGUUAAUUAACAGGACGUAACAAUAUCUUGUCAGACAUUGAAAACACAAAAAAUUCUGAUCCAAAUACAGAUACUGAUAUGUCUCUUUUGCUUGAAAAUCCAGGCAACUUCCUUGUUUAGCCUUAUUUAUUACACAAGUACUUUGAGCCACAUAAACCACAUCUUGUUCUGUUAAAAGAUACCAUUGAGGAAAGGCAAGUAAAAAUUGUAGUGGAAAUAUCAUCCUACAAUAAAUAUGGAACACAUGUAUUGUUUGCUACACAUUUGAAGCGAUCUACUGAGCAGUGUUUUCAGCAGUGUAUGGCAGGUUUAUCCUUUAACCAGGAAGAAAUAGCUGGACUUGUUGUAGUGCCUGAUGGAAUGAAACUCAUGGU
rnacentral:lncRNA from 1 species